GAAAUGAGGGCUUCCACUGAUCAUUUCUCUGUCACUCCAGCAUUUCUUCAGGUUAAGAAGCAGAAACAUUACUUAAGUGACACUCUAGAGAUGAAGUGUUCUCCAGGGAUCGUGAUUGUCCUAUUCUUAAUGCUUGGACAAAUCCAUGGAAACUCAGUGAACCAGACUGAAGGCCAGGUGACCGUCUCAGAAGAGGCUUCCUUGACAAUGAAUUGUACUUACUGAAUGUCAGGGUACCCUGUCCUUUUCUGGUGUGUCAGUAUCUGGGGAAUGGUCCACAGCUCCUCCUGAAAGCAUCAGGAGACAAGGAGAAGGGAAGUAACAAAGGGUUUGAAGCCACUUUGGACAGCUCAUCCAAAUCCUUCCACUUGAAGAAAGGCUCACUGCACGUGUCAGACUCAGCUGUGUACUACUGUGUCAUGAGUGACACAGUGACGGGGACUGUAGGGGGAGCUGAGUGCAAACUCUGAGCAGAGCAGGGCCUGGAUGCUGAGCCUCUCUGACUGAUCCACUCUGGUUCCAGCGCAGUCAGUGGUUGUUAGUUCCUCAGCAUCUGGUUGAUACAAAGUCAUACAAAAGGCUAGAGCCUAGGAACCAAGAUAAUACUCUCCACCUGACUAUUCACUGGUGACUUUGACAACAGUUGGAUGACCGUUGUUCCUCAGCCAGGGUGUAAACAAUUUCUAGAUAAAGCCAGAUAACAAUGAAGUGGUCUUUUGCUCAUCCUUGCAGUGAAAUUCCAGCCCCACAAGUUGUUCAGCCACUCUGGUGCGUUGACACUUUUAGAGGAACUCAGUGUGCCUGAGAAGGUGGCUUCUGCCCAGUGUGCCUAUGACAGAGUAUGUAUGACAGGAGGGGAAUGGGAGAGCUUUAGCCCCCAAACCAGGUUUUAGGAGAGAAAGAAGGGAAGGGAAGAAAGGAGGAGAAGCAGUAUACCUGAGCAAGGAAAAGAGCGGCCAGGGACCUCUGCCUGCUUUCUUCUCUAAUAAGUCAGGUGUCAGACAUGGACUGAUAUUCAAAAUGAAGGCAUGGGUACAGAAAUAUAAUGGAGGAAGUGGCUCAUAUCUAAAUCACAAACUGUGCCCCUCAUUCCAUCUUGGUAAGUACAUAAAUCAUUAACCUACUAACAAGAAGGCCUUGAGUGAGAUGGUCUUCCAGUGCCAAGGGAAGUUGUGGCGUACAUAUUCCU
rnacentral:lncRNA from 1 species